rnacentral:rRNA from 1 species
UACAGAGGGGGCAAGCGUUGUUCGGAAUUACUGGGCGUAAAGGGCGCGUAGGCGGCCUGUUAAGUCGGACGUGAAAUCCCUCGGCUCAACCGGGGAACUGCGUCCGAUACUGGCGGGCUUGAAUUCGGGAGAGGGAUGUGGAAUUCCAGGUGUAGCGAUGAAAUGCGUAGAUAUCUGGAGGAACACCGGUGGCGAAGGCGGCAUCCUGGACCGACAUUGACGCUGAGGCGCGAAAGCCAGGGGAGCAAACGGG